GACGAACGCUGGCGGCGUGCUUAACACAUGCAAGUCGAACGGAAAGGCCCUGCUUUUGUGGGGUGCUCGAGUGGCGAACGGGUGAGUAACACUUGAGUAACCUGCCCUUGACUUUGGGAUAACUUCAGGAAACUGGGGCUAAUACCGGAUAGGAGCUCCUGCUGCAUUGUGGGGGUUGGAAAGUUUCGGCGGUUGGGGAUGGACUCGCGGCUUAUCAGCUUGUUUGUGGGGUAGUGGCUUACCAAGGCUUUGACGGGUAGCCGGCCUGAGAGGGUGACCGGCAACAUUGGGACUGAGAUACGGCCCAGACUCCUACGGGAGGCAGCAGUGGGGAAUAUUGCACAAUGGGCGGAAGCCUGAUGCAGCAACGCCGCGUGCGGGAUGACGGCCUUCGGGUUGUAAACCGCUUUCGCCUGUGACGAAGCGUGAGUGACGGUAAUGGGUAAAGAAGCACCGGCUAACUACGUG
rnacentral:rRNA from 1 species